GCAUCAGUGGUUUAGUGGUAAAAUCCAUCGUUGCCAUUCUUGGAAAGACUCUCGAUGGGCCCCGUGUUCGAUUCACGGCUGAUGCA
rnacentral:tRNA from 2 species